UACGUAGGGGGCAAGCGUUGUCCGGAAUCAUUGGGCGUAAAGAGCGUGUAGGCGGCCCGGUAAGUCCGCUGUGAAAGUCCAGGGCUCAACCCUGGGAUGCCGGUGGAUACUGUCGGGCUCGAGUCCGGAAGAGGAGUGUGGAAUUCCUGGUGUAGCGGUGAAAUGCGCAGAUAUCAGGAGGAACACCAAUGGCGAAAGGCAGCACUCUGGGACGUGACUGACGCUGAGACGCGAAAGCGUGGGGAGCAAACAGG
rnacentral:rRNA from 1 species